CUAUCUCCUUCAUUCUUCAAAUCUUCUUAGAAGAUUAUGUAGAAAUCAAAGCAGGAUAUUUUUGGUUAGUUUGUUUGUUAGUUCCUUCAAUGAGUUUGCCAAUGACGGCUCAUUUAUCUUGAUUCAUCUUGAUGUGGUGAUUCUGGUUGUAGUUCAUAUUCUGGAAUUUGUUCCUCUUCAUUUCUGACUUCACUAUUCACAACAGCUGAACAAAGGAAAAAGAACGAUGAUGUGUAUAUCGUCAUGUGCCAGAGACUGCAUCAACAUGAAACAAGAAACAUCAUCAGGUAAAUAACAUUAUCAAAAUCAGAAUCAGAAUUGAAAAUCAAAUAAAAUACCUCCAUCUAUAUUAGUAUAUAAAAAUAUUACCUGUGCCAAAUCCAAUAAUUGUCUCUGUUUUCAAGGCUCCAACAAGUAGCUGCAGCAGCUAAUGCAACAAACCCUAGUAGAGUAAAAUACCACAAAAAUCUUCGUAGGAAAAAGAUUGCAAUGCAUCUUGGC
rnacentral:lncRNA from 1 species